rnacentral:rRNA from 2 species
GGUUAAGUUAGAAAGGGCGCACGGUGGAUGCCUUGACACUAGGAGUCGAUGAAGGACGGGACUAACGCCGAUAUGCUUCGGGGAGCUGUAAGUAAGCUUUGAUCCGAAGAUUUCCGAAUGGGGAAACCCACCAUACGUAAUGGUAUGGUAUCCUUACCUGAAUACAUAGGGUAAGGAAGACAGACCCAGGGAACUGAAACAUCUAAGUACCUGGAGGAAGAGAAAGCAAAUGCGAUUUCCUGAGUAGCGGCGAGCGAAACGGAACAUAGCCCAAACCAAGAGGCUUGCCUCUUGGGGUUGUAGGACAUUCUAUACGGAGUUACAAAGGAACGAGGUAGACGAAGCGACCUGGAAAGGUCCGUCGUAGAGGGUAACAACCCCGUAGUCGAAACUUCGUUCUCUCUUGAAUGUAUCCUGAGUACGGCGGAACACGUGAAAUUCCGUCGGAAUCUGGGAGGACCAUCUCCCAAGGCUAAAUACUCCCUAGUGAUCGAUAGUGAACCAGUACCGUGAGGGAAAGGUGAAAAGCACCCCGGAAGGGGAGUGAAAGAGAUCCUGAAACCGUGUGCCUACAAAUAGUCAGAGCCCGUUAAUGGGUGAUGGCGUGCCUUUUGUAGAAUGAACCGGCGAGUUACGAUCCCGUGCGAGGUUAAGCUGAAGAGGCGGAGCCGCAGCGAAAGCGAGUCUGAAUAGGGCGUUUAGUACGUGGUCGUAGACCCGAAACCAGGUGAUCUACCCAUGUCCAGGGUGAAGUUCAGGUAACACUGAAUGGAGGCCCGAACCCACGCACGUUGAAAAGUGCGGGGAUGAGGUGUGGGUAGCGGAGAAAUUCCAAUCGAACCUGGAGAUAGCUGGUUCUCCCCGAAAUAGCUUUAGGGCUAGCCUUAAGUGUAAGAGUCUUGGAGGUAGAGCACUGAUUGAACUAGGGGUCCUCAUCGGAUUACCGAAUUCAGUCAAACUCCGAAUGCCAAUGACUUAUCCUUAGGAGUCAGACUGCGAGUGAUAAGAUCCGUAGUCAAGAGGGAAACAGCCCAGAUCGCCAGCUAAGGUCCCAAAGUGUGUAUUAAGUGGAAAAGGAUGUGGAGUUGCUUAGACAACUAGGAUGUUGGCUUAGAAGCAGCCACCAUUUAAAGAGUGCGUAAUAGCUCACUAGUCGAGUGACUCUGCGCCGAAAAUGUACCGGGGCUAAAUACACCACCGAAGCUGCGAAUUGAUACCAAUGGUAUCAGUGGUAGGGGAGCGUUCUAAGUGCAGUGAAGUCAGACCGGAAGGACUGGUGGAGCGCUUAGAAGUGAGAAUGCCGGUAUGAGUAGCGAAAGACGGGUGAGAAUCCCGUCCACCGAAUGCCUAAGGUUUCCUGAGGAAGGCUCGUCCGCUCAGGGUUAGUCAGGACCUAAGCCGAGGCCGACAGGCGUAGGCGAUGGACAACAGGUUGAUAUUCCUGUACCACCUCUUUAUCGUUUGAGCAAUGGAGGGACGCAGAAGGAUAGAAGAAGCGUGCGAUUGGUUGUGCACGUCCAAGCAGUUAGGCUGAUAAGUAGGCAAAUCCGCUUAUCGUGAAGGCUGAGCUGUGAUGGGGAAGCUCCUUAUGGAGCGAAGUCUUUGAUUCCCCGCUGCCAAGAAAAGCUUCUAGCGAGAUAAAAGGUGCCUGUACCGCAAACCGACACAGGUAGGCGAGGAGAGAAUCCUAAGGUGUGCGAGAGAACUCUGGUUAAGGAACUCGGCAAAAUGACCCCGUAACUUCGGGAGAAGGGGUGCUUUCUUAACGGAAAGCCGCAGUGAAUAGGCCCAAGCGACUGUUUAGCAAAAACACAGGUCUCUGCGAAGCCGUAAGGCGAAGUAUAGGGGCUGACACCUGCCCGGUGCUGGAAGGUUAAGGAGAGGGGUUAGCGUAAGCGAAGCUCUGAACUGAAGCCCCAGUAAACGGCGGCCGUAACUAUAACGGUCCUAAGGUAGCGAAAUUCCUUGUCGGGUAAGUUCCGAC